UCGGUAAGAGAUCAGCUUGUACAGUAUCAGUUAGUUGGUGGGGUAAUGGCUUACCAAGACUAUGACGCUUAACUGGUUUGAGAGGAUGAUCAGUCACACUGGAACUGAGACACGGUCCAGACUCCUACGGGAGGCAGCAGUGGGGAAUAUUGCACAAUGGACGAAAGUCUGAUGCAGCAACGCCGCGUGGAGGAUGACACAUUUCGGUGCGUAAACUCCUUUUAUAUGAGAAGAUAAUGACGGUAUCAUAUGAAUAAGCACCGGCUAACUCCGUGCCAGCAGCCGCGGUAAUACGGGGGGUGCAAGCGUUACUCGGAAUCACUGGGCGUAAAGAGCAUGUAGGCGGAUUGAUAAGUUUGAAGUGAAAUCCUAUAGCUUAACUAUAGAACUGCUUUGAAAACUGUUAAUCUAGAAUGUGGGAGAGGUAGAUGGAAUUUCUGGUGUAGGGGUAAAAUCCGUAGAGAUCAGAAGGAAUACCGAUUGCGAAGGCGAUCUACUGGAACACUAUUGACGCUGAGAUGCGAAAGCGUGGGGAGCAAACGGGAUUAGAUACCCCGGUAGUCCACGCCCUAAACGAUGCACACUAGUUGUUGUGAGGCUAGACCUUGCAGUAAUGCAGUUAACACA
rnacentral:rRNA from 1 species